rnacentral:rRNA from 1 species
UUGAACGCUGGCGGCAUGCCUUACACAUGCAAGUCGAACGGCAGCACGGGGGCAACCCUGGUGGCGAGUGGCGAACGGGUGAGUAAUAUAUCGGAACGUACCCUGGAGUGGGGGAUAACGUAGCGAAAGUUACGCUAAUACCGCAUACGAUCUACGGAUGAAAGUGGGGGCUCGCAAGACCUCCUGCUCAUGGAGCGGCCGAUAUCUGAUUAGCUAGUUGGUGGGGUAAAGGCCUACCAAGGCGACGAUCAGUAGCUGGUCUGAGAGGACGACCAGCCACACUGGGACUGAGACACGGCCCAGACUCCUACGGGAGGCAGCAGUGGGGAAUUUUGGACAAUGGGGGCAACCCUGAUCCAGCAAUGCCGCGUGAGUGAAGAAGGCCUUCGGGUUGUAAAGC